AAGACUCCGAGUUCUCCAUACUCUUCAGGGAUGAGUCGUGUGGCAGUGGGAAAUGCACUUGGGCUAGACCAGCAGUUUGCUGGCCUGGACCCAAACUCAUCAUAUAAUCAGAAUGGAGGAAGUAUAACCAGCAAAGGGUACUAUAUUCCUCCUCACUUAAGGAACAGAGAAGCUACUAAAGAAUUCUAUGAUAAAGACAGUUCAGGAUGGAGUUCCAGUAAAGAUAAGGAUGCAUACAGCAGUUUUGGUUCCCAUAGUGAUUCAAGAGGGAAGUCUAGUUUCUUCAGUGAUCCUGGAAGCGGAUCAAGGGGAAGGUUCGGUGAUCGUGGAUGAGGUGACUAUGACAACUUUGACAGUCGUGGUGGCAGAGGUGGUUUUGGCAAAUAUGAAUGUGGAAAUAGUCGCUGGUGUGACAAAUCAGAUGAAGAUGAUUGGCCAAAGCCACUCCCACCAAAUGAACGCUUGGAACAAGAACUUUUCUGGAGGCAACACUGGGGUUAACUUUGAAAAAUAUGAGGACAUUCAGUUGAGGCAACAGGCAACAACUGUCCUCCACACAUUGAAAGUUUCAGUGAUGUUAGAUGGGAGAAAUUAUUAUGGGAAACAUUGAGCUUACUCAUUACACUCGCCCAACUCCAGUGCAAAAGCGUGCUAUUCCUAUUAUCAAAGAGAAGAGUGACUUGAUGACCUGUGCCCAAACAGGGUCUGGAAAAACUACAGUAUUUCUCUUGCCCAUCUUAAGUCAGAUUUAUUUUGUGGGUCCAGGCCAGGCUCUUAAGGCCAUGAAGGAAAAUGGAAGAUACGGGCACUGCAAGCAAUAACCAAUCUCUUUGGUGUUAGCACCAACUAGAGAAUUGGCCAUACAUAUUUAUGAGGAAGCCAGGAAAUUUUCAUACCAAUCUAGAGUUCAUCCUUGUGUGGUUUAUUGUUGUGCUGAUAUUGGUCAGCAAAUUUGAAACUUAGAAUGUGGAUGCCAUAUGUUAGUUACCACUCUAGCAUGUCUAGUGGAUAUGAUGGAAAGAGGGAAAAUUUGAUUAGACUUCUGCAAAUACUUGGUGUUAGGUGAAGCUGAUCGGAUGUUGGAUAUGGGGUUUGAAUCUCAAAUACAUAGAAUCGUUGAACAAGAUACUAUACCACCAAAGGGAGUUCACCACACUAUGAUGUUUAGUGCUACCUUCCCUAAGGAAAUACAGAUGCUUGCUCAUGAUUUCUUGGAUGAAUAUAUCUUUUUGGCCAUAGGAAGAGUUGGCUCUACCUCUGAGAACAUCACACAGAAAGUAGUUUGGGUGGAAGAGUCAGACAGUCAUUUCUGCUUGACCUUCUAAAUGCAACAGGCAAAGAUUCACUGACCUUAGUGUUUGUGGAGAUCAAAAAGGGUGCAGAUUCUCUAGAGGAUUUCUUAUACCAUGAAGGAUAUGCUUGUACCAGUAUUCAUGCAGACCAAUCUCUGAGAGAUAGAGAAGAGGCCCUUUACCAGUUUUGCUCAGGAAAAAGCCCGAUUCUCAUGGCUACAACAGCAAGAGGACUGGACAUAUCAAAUGGGAAACGUUAUCAAUUUUGACUUGCCAAGUGAUAUUGAAGAAUAUGUACAUUGAAUUGGCUGUAUAAGAUUUGUAGGAUACCUUGGCCUUGCCACCUCAUUCUUUAAUGAGAGGAACAUAAAUAUUACCAAGGAUUUGUUGGAUCUUCUUGUUGAAGCUAAACAGGAAGUGCCAUUUUGGCUACAAAACAUGGCUUAUGAAUACCACUACAAGGGUAACAGUCAUGGAUGAUCCAAAAGUAGUAGAUUCAGUGGAGGAUUUGGUGCCAGAGACUAUCGACAGAGUAGUGGUGGCAGCAGUUCCAGCUUCAGCAGCAGCCACACCAGCAGCAGCCACAGUGGUGGAGGUGGCCAUGGAAGCAGCAGAGGGUUUGGUGGAGGUGGCUAUAGAGGCUUUUACAACAGUGAUGGAAUUGGAGGAAAUUAUAACUCCCAGGGGGUUAACUGGUGGGGUAACUGAACCUGCUUUGCAGUAGGUCACCCUGCCAAACAAGCUAAUAUGGAAACCACAUGUAACUUAGCCAGACUAUACCUUGUGUAGCUUCAA